UGUAUAUUAGUGUAAACAGCACAGAAAAUUUUGAUCUUUCAAGAAAUGGUGAAAUUCCUUUGUAUAUAA
rnacentral:tRNA from 1 species